GACGAACCGUGCGAACGUUGUUCGGAAUCACUGGGCUUAAAGGGCGCGUAGGCGGGCCUUCAAGUCCGGGGUGAAAUCCUCCCGCUUAACGGGAGAAGAGCCUCGGAGACUGAGGGCCUCGAGGGAGGUAGGGGCGUGCGGAACUAUGGGUGGAGCGGUGAAAUGCAUUGAUAUCCAUAGGAACUCCGGUGGCGAAGGCGGCACGCUGGACCUCUUCUGACGCUGAGGCGCGAAAGCCAGGGGAGCAAACGGG
rnacentral:rRNA from 1 species